rnacentral:rRNA from 1 species
GAUGAACGCUGGCGGCGUGCCUAAUACAUGCAAGUCGAGCGAACGGACGAGAAGCUUGCUUUUCUGAUGUUAGCGGCGGACGGGUGAGUAACACGUGGAUAACCUACCUAUAAGACUGGGAUAACUUCGGGAAACCGGAGCUAAUACCGGAUAAUAUUUUGAACCGCAUGGUUCAAAAGUGAAAGACGGUCUUGCUGUCACUUAUAGAUGGAUCCGCGCUGCAUUAGCUAGUUGGUAAGGUAACGGCUUACCAAGGCAACGAUGCAUAGCCGACCUGAGAGGGUGAUCGGCCACACUGGAACUGAGACACGGUCAAGACUCCUACGGGAGGCAGCCGUAGGGAAUCUUCCGCAAUGGGCGAAAGCCUGACGGAGCAACGCCGCGUGAGUGAUGAAGGUCUUCGGAUCGUAAAACUCUGUUAUUAGGGAAGAACAUAUGUGUAAGUAACUGUGCACAUCUUGACGGUACCUAAUCAGAAAGCCACGGCUAACUACGUG